UGCCUCUGUGUGUGUGUGUGUGUGUGUGUGUGUGUGUGUGUUGUCUACACACACACACACACGCACAUGGUCAUAGGCA